rnacentral:rRNA from 1 species
GACGAACGCUGGCGGCGUGCUUAACACAUGCAAGUGGAGCGACGAACCCUUCGGGGGGCAAAGCCGCGAACGGGUGAGUAACACGUGGGUAACCUGCCCCGAUGACUGGGACAACCCGGGGAAACCCGGGCUAAUACCGGAUGAUGUGCACACACUUAAGUGUGUUCACUAAAGGUAGCUUCGGCUUCCGCAUUGGGAGGGGCCCGCGGCCCAUUAGCUUGUUGGUGAGGUAACGGCUCACCAAGGCAACGAUGGGUAGCUGGUCUGAGAGGACGAUCAGCCACCCUGGGACGGAGACACGGCCCAGACUCCUAGGGGAGGCAGCAGUGGGGAAUCUUGCGCAAUGCGCGAAAGCGUGACACAGCAACGCCGCGUGAGGGAAGACGGCCUUCGGGUUGUAAACCUCUUUCAGUAGGGACGAAGGCCGGCCGGUGAAUAGCCGUGUCGGUUGACGGUACCUUCAGAAGAAGCUCCGGCUAACUACGUGCCAGCAGCCGCCGUAA